UACGUAGGGUGCGAGCGUUUGUCCGGAAUUACUGGGCGUAAAGAGCUCGUAGGUGGUUUGUCGCGUUGUUCGUGAAAACUCACAGCUCAACUGUGGGCGUGCGGGCGAUACGGGCAGACUGGAGUACUGCAGGGGAGACUGGAAUUCCUGGUGUAGCGGUGGAAUGCGCCAGAUAUCAGGAGGAACACCGGUGGCGAAGGCGGAUCUCUGGGCCAUUACUGACGCUGGAGGAGCGAAAGCGUGGGGAGCGAACAGG
rnacentral:rRNA from 1 species